UACGGAGGGAGCUAGCGUUGUUCGGAAUUACUGGGCGUAAAGCGCACGUAGGCGGCUUUGUAAGUUAGAGGUGAAAGCCCGGGGCUCAACCCCGGAAUUGCCUUUAAGACUGCAUCGCUUGAAUCCAGGAGAGGUGAGUGGAAUUCCGAGUGUAGAGGUGAAAUUCGUAGAUAUUCGGAAGAACACCAGUGGCGAAGGCGGGUCUCUGGGCAUCUCCUGACGCUGAGGCGCGAAAGCGUGGGGAGCAAACGGG
rnacentral:rRNA from 1 species